ACUCAAAGGAAUUGACGGGGGCCCGCACAAGCGGUGGAGCAUGUGGUUUAAUACGUCACUAACCGUAGAACCUUACCAGGGUUUGACAUCUGCUGCCCGCCUAUGAAAGUAGGUUUUCCCCCACAAGGGGACAGCAAGACAGGUGUUGCAUGGCUGUCGUCAGCUCGUGUCGUGAGAUGUUGGGUUAAGUCCCGCAACGAGCGCAACCCUCAUCCGAUGUUGCCAGCGUAAAGUCGGGAACUCUUCGGAAACUGCCCGUGUAAGCGGGAGGAAGGUGGGGACGACGUCAAGUCAGCAUGGCCCUUACAUCCUGGGCUACACACAUGCUACAAUGGCAGUUCACAGAGGGACGCGAUACCGCGAGGUGGAGCCAAUCCCAGAAAUGCUGUCUCAGUUCGGAUUGUAGUCUGCAACUCGACUACAUGAAGCCGGAAUCGCUAGUAACCGCAGGUCAGCUAAACUGCGGUGAAUACGUUCCCGGGCCUUGUACACACCGCCCGU
rnacentral:rRNA from 1 species